UCCGGUUUGUCACCGGCAGUCUCAUUAGAGUGCCCUUUCGUAGCAACUAAUGACAAGGGUUGCGCUCGUUGCGGGACUUAACCCAACAUCUCACGACGCGAGCUGACGACAGCCAUGCAGCACCUGUGUAUCGGCUCUCUUUCGAGCACUCCCACCUCUCAGCGGGAUUCCGACCAUGUCAAGGGCUGGUAAGGUUCUGCGCGUUGCGUCGAAUUGAACCACAUGCUCCACCGCUUGUGCGGGCCCCCGUCAAUUCCUUUGAGUUUCAACCUUGCGGCCGUACUCCCCAGGCGGGGUGCUUAACGCGUUAGCUGCGACACUGACGAGCAAGCCCGCCAACGUCUAGCACCCAUCGUUUACGGCGUGGACUAC
rnacentral:misc_RNA from 1 species